ensembl:lncRNA
GUAAGGUAGGGUCAGUAAUGUAGGGUAAAGUAAGAUAAGUAAGGUAGGGUAGGGAAAGGUAGGGUAGGGUAAGGUAGGGUUAAAUAAGGUAGGGUAGGGUAAGUAAGUUAGAGUAAGUAAGUAAGGUAAGUAAGGUAGGAUAGGUAAGGUAGGGUAGGGAAGGGUAGAGAUAAAGUAGGGUAAAGUAGGGUUGGGUAAGGUGGGGAAAGGUAGGGUAAAGUAAGGUAGGGUAAGUAAGGUAGAGAAAAAGUAAGGUAAGUAAGGUAGGGUAAGGUAGGGUAGGGUAAGGUAGGGUAGGUAGGGUAAGGUAGGGUAGGGUAGAGUAGGGUAAGGCAGGGUAAGGUAGAGUAAAGUAUGGUUGGGGUGGGGUAAAGUAGGGUAGGGAGGGUAGGGUAAGGUAAGGUAAAGUAGGGUAAGGUAGGGUAAGGUAAAGUAGGGUGGGGUAAGUAAGGUAGGGUAAGGUAGGGUAGGGUAGGUAAGGUAGGGUAGGGUAGGGUAGGGUAGGUAGGGUAGGGUAAGGUAGGUAAGGUAGGGUAAGGUAAGGAAGGUAGGGUAAGGUAAGGUAGGUAAGGUAGGGUAAGGUAAGUAAGGUAGGGUAAGGUAGGGUAGGUAAGGUAGGGUAAGUAAGGUAAGUAAGGUAGGCUAAGGUAAGGUAGGGUAGGGUAGGGUAGGGUAAGGUAGGAUAAGGUAG